AUUGAACGCUGGCGGAAUGCUAUACACAUGCAAGUCGAGCGGCAGCACGGGGGCAACCCUGGUGGCGAGCGGCGAACGGGUGAGUAAUACAUCGGAACAUGCCCAGUCGUGGGGGAUAACACUUCGAAAGAAGUGCUAAUACCGCAUACGUCCUGAGGGAGAAAGCGGGGGAUCUUCGGACCUCGCGCGAUUGGAGUGGCCGAUGUCAGAUUAGCUAGUUGGUGGGGUAAAGGCCUACCAAGGCAACGAUAUGUAGCUGGUCUGAGGGGAAGAUCAGACACACUGGGACUGAGACACGGCCCAGACUCCUACGGGAGGCAGCAGAGGGGAAUUUUGGACAAUGGGGGCAACCCUGAUCCAGCCAUUCCGCGUGAGGGAAGAAGGCGUUCGGGUUGUAAAGCUCUUUCGGCAGGAACGAAACGGCGAGCUCUAACAUAGCUUGAUAAUGACGGUACCUGAAGAAGAAGCACCGGCUAACUACGUGCCAGCAGCCGCCGUAACAC
rnacentral:rRNA from 1 species